rnacentral:rRNA from 1 species
CUUAACCCCGGAACUGCCUUCAAAACUGCCGUGCUAGAGUUCGGUAGAGGAAAGUGGAAUACCCAGUGUAGAGGUGAAAUUCGUAGAUAUUGGGUAGAACACCGGUGGCGAAGGCGACUUUCUGGACCGACACUGAGGCUGAGGUGCGAAAGCGUGGGGAGCGAACAGGAUUAGAUACCCUGGUAGUCCACGCCGUAAACGAUGAGUGCCAGAUGUUGCAGGGCAUGCCCUGCAGUGUCGCAGUUAACGCGUUAAGCACUCCGCCUGGGGAGUACGGCCGCAAGGUUAAAACUCAAAGGAAUUGACGGGGGCCCGCACAAGCGGUGGAGCAUGUGGUUUAAUUCGAGGCAACGCGAAGAACCUUACCAGCCCUUGACAUCCCGGUCGCGGAUCGCAGAGAUGCUUUCCUUCAGUUCGGCUGGACC